rnacentral:rRNA from 1 species
UAAACUCCUGUCAGAUGGGAAGAAAGUACUAUAUUUAAUAGAUGUAAGAAAUGACGGUACCAUCAGAGGAAGCACCGGCUAACUUCGUGC